UGUCUCCAGAACCCUAUGGAACCAAUUGUUUCAGAAGAUGGAAUGAAAACCAUAAUGCCAUCCUUUAACUCAUUGGUUGUGUCUGCAGAGCUCCAGCAAAUUAUUGAGAGCUUUAAGAUCCAUGUACCUACGCCAAUCCAGGUUCAAACGAUUCCUCACGUUAUGAAGGGUUCACAUGUGCUCUGUGCCGCAGAGACCGGGUGUGGGAAAAACUGUGCUACAUGCUGCCCUUGAUUCAGCGAUUGAAUGAGGACGAGACGAAUAUCGAAACGGAGAUCCAGAAUCCUCGAGCUAUUGUGAUGGUGCCAUCGCGUGAUUCUCCUCGAUCAGGUCACAAAUAUUGCUCGGAGUCUGACACGUGGCACACAUUUGAAAGUGUUAUCAAUUGGUGGAGGCAGAGGCAUGAUCUGUCCAGUGCCUACCCGGAGAGUUCCUUACGAGUCUGCAAGAUCGGAGGGGGCACAACUGAUCCUCACAGGAGCUACGUUUCCCAAAGGCCUCGACAACCUAUUGUCCAAAGUUAUGGAUGCGAGUGACUCUCAAAUGGAUAUGUUUGUCAUAUAAAUGAUGAUAUAUAGUCAUGUAAAUGACAAAGGAUUGAAACCUCGAUGAAGAACGGCGCCCAGCUGAUGAUCCGGGCAAUUGGGAAAUCAGUCAAUUGCUUAUAAGUGAAGGUUAUAACUUCAAAUAAAACAGCUUUUGUUAAGUAGUUACCAUUACUGUGUGCGC
rnacentral:lncRNA from 1 species